rnacentral:rRNA from 1 species
CGGGACGGGCGAGUAAUGUCUGGGAAACUGCCCGAUGGAGGGGGAUAACUACUGGAAACGGUAGCUAAUACCGCAUAACGUCGCAAGACCAAAGAGGGGACCUUAGGGCCUCUUGCCAUCGGAUGUGCCCAGAUGGGAUUAGCUAGUAGGUGGGGUAACGGCUCACCUAGGCGACGAUCCCUAGCUGGUCUGAGAGGAUGACCAGCCACACUGGAACUGAGACACGGUCCAG